UAGAUAGUCGACAUUUCUCCGAUGUACUGGACGUAACAGCAUGUAGAGGUGCUAAUAUAGACUCCAACCACUACCUUAUAAAAGCCAAAACUAAGAGCACUCAUAUCUAACGCAAAAAGGGCACAGCACAAAAUCCACAAAAUAUAAUACUGCUGUGCUAAAAUCUGAAACUGCUAGAGCUAAUUACAUGACAAUCUUAAACGAAGCGUUACUAAAAAUUGAAGAAUAUUUAAGUAUAGAAGAGCAUUGGACUAAAUUAUGUAAAGAAGCUAUGCACACAGCGGCUGAAACUGUAUUAAAACCUAUCAAGAUUAGAAAAAACGAAGAUUGGUUCGACGAAGAGUGUAGACAUAUCAACCAACAAAAAAAUGAAGCAUACAAGAGACUCCAGCAGCGCAGAACGAGAUCAACUCUGGAAGAUUAUGAAAAUCUUAGAAGAGAAGAAAAGAGAAUGU
rnacentral:lncRNA from 1 species